CUCCCAGGCCGAUUCUGCAGGAUAGGAAAUGCGUAACCGACGGAAAACGCGCCUGGAAAACCAAGGGAUCAAAACAACAAGGGGUGUGGGGCUGCAUAGAAAAUUGGAGCCACAGAAACCAGGAAGGGCGCCUUUCAGGACAGAAAGUGACGCAGGAGAACCUCCCCGGGCCCAGGUCUCGACGCAACCCCUCCCCCACGGCAGGAUUUCGGGUUCGAAUUGAGUCCUCGAAGCUCUGGGAGGCUAAAAAGGGGCAAAACGAUCCUUCAAUUAACUCAGCCAUUAGCACAAGAGAUUCACAGUCUUAUAG
rnacentral:lncRNA from 1 species